UACGUAGGGUGCUAGCGUUGUCCGGAUUUAUUGGGCGUAACGAGCUCGUAGGUGGCCUCAUAAGUCCGCUGUGAAAGUCAAAGGCUCAACCUUUGAAAGCCGGUGGAUACUGUGAGGCUAGAGUACGGAAGAGGCGAGUGGAAUUCCACGUGUAGCAGUGAAAUGCGUAGAGAUGUGGAGGAAUACCGAUGGCGAAGGCAGCCCCCUGGGAUGAUACUGACGCUCAUGCACGAAAGCGUGGGGAGCAAACAGG
rnacentral:rRNA from 1 species